rnacentral:lncRNA from 1 species
CCACUUCCCCCAGUGGCUCCGGCGGGGCGCAUCUUGCGCGGAGCAGGCACUGGGGGAGGGGAGAAGGGGGCGCCAUAUCUAGCCGGCUUUUGGAUUUUUUUUGUUUGUUUGUUUAGUUCGAGAACUUCAAACUUGAGUCUUAAAAAAAAGUUUAAGAAGGAGGGGAAAAAAGCCAAGCGCGGGCGGGCAAGAAGGCCCCCCCGCGGCGGCCGGGCUGAGGCCGGGCGCGAACUCAUCGCAGGCGCGCGUCGGCACUGCCGCUUUAAGCAGCCUUGCCCAUUGUUUGCCCCCCGACCAAUGGCGGCGGCGCUGCCCGCUGGGCGCGGCCAAUGAGCGGCGCGCAGGGCAGGCGCGGCGCCGCCCCCGGCUCUAUAAGAGGGGCCGCGGCGCCGCGUGAGCCCUCCACUGCGCGGCCAAGGCCAUCUUUGCAUUGUUCGCUGCGCUGCGCCUGCGCCUGCGCCCGACCGCGCGGGGCUAUUUUUAUACAGAGCUAUUUUGUACCCGCCCGCACCGCACCAUGUCGGACACGGCCGUGGACACCAGCGCCGAGAUCUCCGCCAAGGAUCUAAAAGAGAAGAAGGAAGUCGUGGAAGAGACGGAAAACGGCAGAGAUGCGCCCGCCAACGGCAAUGCUGAGAACGAGGAAAACGGGGAGCAGGAAGCCGACAACGAAGUAGACGAGGAGGAGGAAGAAGGCGGCGAGGAGGAGGACGAGGAGGAAGAGGGUGAUGGUGAGGAAGAGGACGGUGACGAAGACGACGAAGCCGAGGGGGCCACAGGCAAACGGGCGGCUGAGGACGAUGAGGUGAGCGGGGAUGGAUCCCAGGCGCUUUGCUGGAGCAGAGCUGGCCGGGUCCCCCGGAGGGAUCCACCGGGGCACGUGUGGGCCAGGGAGCCUGGCUGGGCUCUUGGAGCCCAGCUCCUGCCCCCAUCCCGGGCACGGCUCUCGCGUUUGCCUCCGGGGUGCUGCCCUCGGGGACUCAGCCCGCUUCCAUUUGUACCCGUGGCCUGCUUAGGAGCGCCCUCGGCUGCAGCCGGAGCAGCCCGUGCUCCCGCGCUGGGAUGGCACAGCUGGGAGGGGAGUCUUCCUCCACGCUCUGCUGGCAGCUGGGGAAGGGGCUGGCGCAACCCCGGAUGCCCUGGCUGGGUUAGGAAGGGGACGAGGGGGGUGACGGACGCUGAACCCCAGCACAAUGGUGCUGGGAGCCGGCUCUGCCCUCUCCAGCCCUUGGCCUCUCCUGGGCAGUGCCAGCGGCACGUCAAAGGGUGCAAGAGACGGGGCUGGUGCGGGCAAGACGGCUGCUUCCUGAGGAGAGCGGCAGCUCGCUGGGUACCUCGGGUGGGGUCUGCGCAGAGCCAGGUGCACAGAAAGGCCACUCGGAUAAGGCCCCUUAUCUCCGCGCGGGAGAGGAAGCCGAAAACCCGCCUCCAGGAGCAAAGGCUGAAUCCCUUCUUGCUGGGGCUGGCAGGGAGGCAGAGGGAACCACGGUCCUUGGCCCCUCGUGGCCGCCCCAGAGCUGGGCAGGAUGGGGCAUUUGGGCUCCCUAAAACUGCAGGGCAAAGAGGUGCCAAGGGGGCAGC